ACAGAUCAGUUUGGGAGCCGCGGUGGCUCCGGCCAGUUGUCCUGGUGCUUGAGGAGGCGAGGCUAUGCAUUCAAGGCCGACCGGGGCAACAUAAGAACCUCUCAUUCAUUAAAAAAAAAAAGAAUU